AAAAAAUGAGAAGCCAAUCAUGGAUCUUGUUCAGAACUAAGAGCUAGUUUAGUUUAUUUUUUCACUUCCAGCCAAUACCCAGACUGAAAUGCAAGGUCGAGGAAAGCCAGGUGUAAAGAAGAAGUCAUUCCACAACCUAGAAAAAGCUUUUGACCGUGUUCUGCAUCAGCUGAUAUGGUCCCAGAACUAUAAACUAGUGUGGGAAAUCAAAAAGGCAUUCUGGAAGAAGAAAAUAGCAAACCACUUCAUUGUUGCUGCCAAGAAAACUACAUGACCACGUUCACGGAAUGACCUUGACAUGAAGGAGUCUACCUUGAAGUGAACCAUAAGGGAACAGCUAUGUGAGAGCUGUUGUCAUUAUGAUCAGUGUUAAAAACUUUUAUUUUCCAGGAAAUAAAAUCAUAUAAUAACAUUAUUUGCCUAAAAAAUGGCUGGA